rnacentral:tRNA from 1 species
CCCGUCAUAGCUCAGUUGGUAGAGCGGAGGACUGUAGAUCCUUAGGUCGCUGGUUCAAAUCCGGCUCGCGGGA